rnacentral:tRNA from 1 species
GCAUUGGUGGUUCAGUGGUAGAGUUCUUUCUUUUCAUGUGGGAGACAUGGGUUCAAGUCCCAGCCAGUGUA